UGCAAGGUGAAACAAAGACACUUUUUGGGAAGCGUAAAAAUCACAUCAAUAGGCAGCUGAAAUAUGUUUAGACUACGGGAAAAGGGAUAUUUUAACUAUACUUAUUUAGACUUAGUGUAUCACAUAAAGUUGUAACUUGUAAAAUACAACUUUUACAAUCUUAAAAGCUCUUUCAAAGCAACCUUUGCUUUCCCUGCCUGACCUUUCAAACCCAUAUACCUCUGUCUAACCGAUUUUGUAUCAUUCUUAUUUGUCCUUUCGGCCUGAACACAUCUAAAUUUUCUGUGUAGUCUCAAGUUAUUUCUUUUUGUUCGGUUCAAUAAUCCCUACGAAUUAAUCAUGUGUUGCGGACCCUGUGGACCUUGCUGUGGACCCUGCUGUGGGCCAUGCGGACCGUGCUGUGGACCCUGCGGCGGAGGAUGUGGUCCCUGCUUUGGACCCAAUGUAUGCGGACCAUGCUACGCCUGUGGACCAUGUGGCGGCUGCUACUGUGGAUAUCCUUGCUGCUAGGCCAGAUGGUUCGGGAUCCCAUAGAACGGUUGACGGAAAUGCACGAAUUAAGUCAAAAACCUCUUGGAUCAUCUUAGGAACUGUCUGGCUAUUAGGACCAUUUAGUCAUCUAAUAUUCGUGAACCACAAAUAAAAAUAAUUUGAGACAA